CAGGUGAUUCAGAAUAGAGAUCCAGGCUUAUUUUAGCUCCCUGUAUUUUCUUUCUUUCUUUCUACAAGGUUUUAGUUUCAUCAACUUGGAGGGUUUAUUUUUGCUCCCUCAAGUUUGGUCCUUUUUUUUCAAGCUUUUUUAGGAUUUUGGUUUGGGCUUUAAAAAACUUACAUUUUUAUCUUGUUCUCUUGUUUGCUGUUUAUAUAAAACCAGUUCUCCCUGUUCUUGAAUUUUGUUAAGUAACAGGUUAAUUUGAAGAUCUUUCUUUGUCUUUGAGAUUGAGAAAGGUAUGGCAGCAGCUAUAGAUUUCUACAAAAGCAGCACAACACCAGGUUUCUCAAUUAUAGAUCCUUGUAGAGAAG
rnacentral:misc_RNA from 1 species